rnacentral:rRNA from 1 species
GACGAAGGUGGCGAGCGUUGUUCGGAAUCACUGGGCAUAAAGCGCACGUAGGCGGCUAAGUACGUCGGAUGUGAAAUACCUCGGCUCAACCGAGGAACUGCGUCCGAUACUGCUUGGCUUGAGGUCCGGAGGGGAGAGUGGAAUUCCCGGUGGAGCGGUGAAAUGCGUAGAGAUCGGGAAGAACGCCGGCGGCGAAAGCGACUCUCUGGUCGGAAUCUGACGCUGAGGUGCGAAAGCUAGGGGAGCAAACGGG